GCUGGUUGUACUACAUGCAGACUACUAUAGUUUUUCAUCCCCUGCAAAAAUGCUUUUUCUUUUUGGUGAGAGGCUGUGGAAAGAAGGAAAAGUUUUAAAACUAAACGUAAGUGGAAGUUUUCUCUUCAUGACUUGGGGCUACAUUUAAUUGCUGUGAUCAUAUGACUUAGAAUAAGUCUUGCUUGAAACUAUACUGCCCCUUUUGAUUUCAGUGAAGAUUUCAUCAUGAAAAUUCUUUUUGUGAAUGUAUUUGCUGGAUGAGGCUGAAUCCUGAGUACUGAACUAAUUUUUGCAUGCCACAGAACUCUACUCAAAAAGAGCAGAAGGAAGGCGGGGGAAGCCCAGGAAGGCUGCUCAGCUGGCCUGUGAUGGGAAGGAGCCCCCCAGGGACCCCCCCCACCACCCCUCCUGGGGAUGGCAUGGUACCCAGCUGGGAUCUGAAACAUGGAUAUUCCUGGUUGGGAGGCAUGGACAAGAUAGCUGCUCAAGAUUCAAAAUUUUUGCGGCUAGUAUUUCACCAUGGGAACAGCAUCUCUCUGGGACUGCACUUGUGGUUGUACAUUCAUUUCUGAUUCUCUGGGAGCUGUUAUGAAAAUUUCUUUGCCUGAACUAGUUUUGAUUUCUUUCUUUAUUUAUAACUGUUUUUUAAAGGUCUGAAGAAACCUCUGAAAAUAUACAAAUACUUCUCUAUUUCUCAAACUAUUACAUAUUUCAGUUAUAUCUUUUUAAUUAUCCUCUUGCUCAUCUCUUCUUCAGUUUCUUUUUUGAAGCAUGGUAUUUUCUUAGCCUCUUGACAUAAUCAGCAAUAGCAGCUUUUCUUUCUGAUUUACAAAGUAAGUGAAAAUCAUCUUAUUGGAAGCUUUGGUUUAAUCUGUUGACUUACAAAAUAUAUUACAUCAAGUGUGGGAGCUGUAUGAAAGCAAAUGCAUACAUUUCUGAAGAAAAAAAGGACGGUUCAGAAUAUGUAACAAUACAUCAACUUACAUGUUUGUAUUUUUUAAAAGAGGAUAUUAAAAGAAACCCUGAUGUGACGACUUACAAUCACACAGCAGUGAUGGUAACAGCUCUACACAGGAGUUGAAUUCACUUUUGCAAAAAGAAAACCAUUGAAAAUGCAUUUGAAGGAAAUUGAAGAUACUGCUGGAGUUGCGGAAGCAGAUAAGUUCAGGACAUUUAUUUGAGAAGCAAAACAGUGUUAAGAAUAGGUGCUCUGUCAGAUCUGAUAUAGCUGAGGUCACAAAACAGUUUCCAUAUAAUGUGAAGGGUUGUAAAAUAUUAAUGCCUCCCUGAAAUGUUCAGCUUGAACUUAAUUUGGCAACUUUUGUAAAGAAUAAAGGAUAAUAAAAGAUGUUUUUACAAAUAUAUUAAUGGCAAAAAGAAGGAUAAGA